rnacentral:misc_RNA from 1 species
UGAUGCCAACAAGGAUGUACAAGCAUUGCUGGCAGGACACACAAAGGAGGUUGAGUCGGAGCCUCAGUUGAAGUUGCUUCUACCUUAUAUAGUUUCAGCAUUUGGUGCUCAUAAAUCAGUUUCUGAGGUUAUAGAAGAGUUAAAGAAGCACCAACAAAGUGCUGAUGCUGCAGUAGCGGAAUGGGCUAGUGAUGCUCUUCUUGGCAUCGGAAAGGGUGCACCCUUUUCUCUCUGCUUGACCCACAAGCAUUUCUCUGAGGUUGCUUCUGCAUAUGGAAA